AGCCUUGCAAAGCACAGCCCAUCGCCUUAAAUCUACCUUGUCCUUCGGGACUAUGGACAUAAACGCGCUCGCAAUAAGCGGAUCGGACCCGGGGGCGGUACCCGGCGUCUCCACCAAACACUCUGGCGGCUUCCUUCAUUUGGGGAUGUUCAUCAGAAGAGCGGGGACGAAAUAGGAUCGACGAACGUCUAAAGGGGUUAGCUUUGUCUCGGCUGUCUGCCACCGUUACCGGCGAAAACUGUACAAUUGCAAAUGACAAUCGUGCUCCAGUAGCAAUGGCCGCGUAAGCGACCGGAGAUACUGAAAUCUUAAGUCCUGACGCCUAGCGGAGUCAGGCGGGGUUCGUAGGUACCUGGCAACAGAAACCUACACU
rnacentral:tmRNA from 2 species